AACGAACGCUGGCGGCAUGCCUAACACAUGCAAGUCGAACGAGAUCUUCGGGUCUAGUGGCGCACGGGUGCGUAACGCGUGGGAAUCUGCCCUUUGGUUCGGAAUAACAGUUGGAAACGACUGCUAAUACCGGAUGAUGACGAAAGUCCAAAGAUUUAUCGCCAGAGGAUGAGCCCGCGUAGGAUUAGCUAGUUGGUGUGGUAAAGGCGCACCAAGGCGACGAUCCUUAGCUGGUCUGAGAGGAUGAUCAGCCACACUGGGACUGAGACACGGCCCAGACUCCUACGGGAGGCAGCAGUGGGGAAUAUUGGACAAUGGGCGAAAGCCUGAUCCAGCAAUGCCGAGCGAGUGAUGAAGGCCUUAGGGUUGUAAAGCUCUUUUACCCGGGAUGAUAAUGACAGUACCGGGAGAAUAAGCUCCGGCUAACUCCGUGCCAGCCGCCGCAGUAA
rnacentral:rRNA from 1 species